CAAUAGCGUAUAUUUAAGUUGUUGCAGUUAAAAAGCUCGUAGUUGGAUUUUGGGUCGGGGGCACCGGUCCGCCGUUCCGGUGUGCACUGGUGGCCCCUUCCUUUCUGCCGGGGACGUGCGUCGCACUUAAUUGGGUGGCGUUCGGAGUCAGCGUUGUUACUUUGAAAAAAUUAGAGUGUUCAAAGCAAGCCAUCGCUCUGAAUACAUUAGCAUGGAAUAACAUGAUAGGACUCCGGUCUUAUUUUGUUGGUUUCCGAGACUGGAGUAAUGAUUAAGAGGGACAGUCGGGGGCAUCCGUAUUUCAUUGUCAGAGGUGAAAUUCUUGGAUUUAUGAAAGACGAACUUCUGCGAAAGCAUUUGCCAAGGAUGUUUUCAUUAA
rnacentral:rRNA from 1 species